CGGGGCGGGGGCACGGGGGSCCUACGGGGYGCACCAGGCGCGCAAACUUUACAAUGCGAGCAAUCGUGAUAAGGAAACCCUGAGUGCCUGUCGAUGCAGGCUGUUCAUAUAUCUAAAUCAUAUGUGAAGAAAGGGCAGGGCAAGACCGGUGC
rnacentral:rRNA from 1 species